rnacentral:rRNA from 1 species
CACGUAGGCACCAAGCGUUGUCCGGAUUUAUUGGGCGUAAAGAGCUCGUAGGCGGUUCAGUAAGUCGGGUGUGAAAACUCUGGGCUCAACCCAGAGCCGCCACUCGAUACUGCUGUGACUUGAGUUCGGUAGGGGAGCAGGGAAUUCCUAGUGUAGCGGUGAAAUGCGCAGAUAUUAGGAGGAACACCGGUGGCGAAGGCGCUGCUCUGGGCCGAUACUGACGCUGAGGAGCGAAAGUGUGGGGGAGCGAACAGG